UACGUAGGGUGCAGGCGUUAAUCGGAAUUACUGGGCGUAAAGCGUGCGCAGGCGGUUUGUUAAGACAGGUGUGAAAUCCCCGGGCUUAACUUGGGAACUGCGCUUGUUACUGGCAGACUUGAGUGUGGCAGAGGGGGGUGGAAUUCCAGGUGUAGCAGUGAAAUGCGUAGAUAUCAGGAGGAAUACCGAUGGCGAAGGCAGGUCUCUGGGUUAACACUGACGCUCAUGCACGAAAGCGUGGGGAGCAAACAGG
rnacentral:rRNA from 1 species